UCCUUGCUGCUCUGAUUGAGAUUCCAGGUGCCAGUUCUGGGGAGGACAGGCUCUGUUCAGGACAUCAGCACCAACAGAGAUGUCUUUUAAAGAAGAAACUGUUGCUGAAGCUGUGGCGGCAGGAGGGUGUCUUGUGGAUGAAGAGGACAAUCCUGUAUGGUGGGUGAUGGAGUCAGCAGGUUGGGCAUCAAUAGUGGCACCUUCCUGCUGCCACAAAGAGUCUCUGUAGCAAGGUAGUUGUCUAGAGGUAACUGAAACUCUGUUGCCUUCACAUCAUAGAAUGGCUUGGGUUGGAAGAGACCUCAAGGAUCAUCAAGUUCCAACCCCCCCAUAUCCACACACCGUUGGCCCUGGUCACAGGUUUUUACUUGUUUGGUGGCACAAGAGAUGUGACGAAAAACCAGAGCUACAGAUUCCCUUUCCUCCCUGUUGGCAACACUGCUAUCCCAUCACAUGGGCAUUAUUUGCUGUCCUCUUUCCUUUCUGGCUGUUCCCCAUAACAGCACUGCCUGCUCUCUCAUGCUGUGUUUCCUCCUUUUCAGGACUCUCCAUGGGUUGCUCCAGGCCAAGUUCUCUGUCUUGCUUUACUCCUGGCCAUCUCGCUCACCUGCCACAGAGCUUGACUCUGGCUGAUUUGUGAUACUUCAGGCACUUCACAUGAAAACAGAAGAGAACCAGUGUAGGAGGGAAGCUAUUCAGCAUCAAGAUUUGGAUGCUUUUCUGGAAUGACAUACUUGACUUCAGUGGCAUCAACAACAGCUAAAAUUCAGGUAUGUGCAGCUUAAUUAUUUUCCCUGAGGGUUUGGAUUUAGAGGCAUUCUUAUGGCUUUAUGAAAGACAGUAGAGGGAAAAAAAGAGGGGUUGUUGAGCCAUCUUGUGCAAAAAAAUGUACUAACAAUUCAAAUUGGUUUACACAUUUGUUUCUUACCAGAUUCUCUUUUCUUUUCAACUCAAAAGAUGUAGUCAUUAAACAUCACUUUGCAACACUUCAUUUCCAUUUCCUUGCUUGAAACUUUUUCUGUUUUUAACUACUAUGUGCCUUUUUCACUGCUUUGCCACUUCUUUGCAUCCCUUCUUUUCUGUGGAUUUUGUCUCUACUUCAUAAGAAGAGAACUGGAAUAUCUAUAAAAUUGCAAAUUCAGCACUGACAGACACAGAUCCUCCACUUUAUUUGGGUUCUUCUGUAAUUUGUUACCUAUUUCCCCCAAGUAUAUCUGGAUGAGGAUAACAGCUGUAAGCAUGUAAUGCAUGGCAGCCUCUUUCUCCUCCAACCCUGUCCUCAUACCUGUGACAUUGCUUAUGGUCCAACCUUGCUCCCCUCAUACUGUUUCAAUUUUAUCUGCUCCCUUUCACUGCUGUCUCUUGCUCUCUGUGGCAGCUGAGCUGGAUAUUCUCUGCUGUCACGCAAAAUCGCAGGGCCCAGCACUGGUGACACCAUCCUCCUCUGACCAUGAGCUUUGCCUGUUUUCAAGGUGCCCAGUUCCCUUCUUGCUCUGGUCUUCCUGAAAUAGCAUUAAAGCCAUAUCCCCUCCCCCUGCUGUUGCUGCAUGAUGCAUUCCUUCUUUGAAAGAGAAUUCUGAACUCAAAACUCCUGUACGUCUUUCAGCUCAGUGGUGCCAAAACUCAGCCAGCAACUGGAG
ensembl:lncRNA